CCGCCGCGGGAAUACAGAGGGUGCGAGCGUUAAUCGGAUUUACUGGGCGUAAAGCGUGCGUAGGCGGCUUUUUAAGUCGGAUGUGAAAUCCCUGAGCUUAACUUAGGAAUUGCAUUCGAUACUGGGAAGCUAGAGUAUGGGAGAGGAUGGUAGAAUUCCAGGUGUAGCGGUGAAAUGCGUAGAGAUCUGGAGGAAUACCGAUGGCGAAGGCAGCCAUCUGGCCUAAUACUGACGCUGAGGUACGAAAGCAUGGGGAGCAAACAGGAUUAGAUACCCCAGUAGUCCCUGUCUCUUAUACACA
rnacentral:rRNA from 1 species